CAAUUAUCUGCCAUAUGAUACAUGUUUUUUCUCUCAUCCAGGCUCAGCCACUUCCUCAACCACUCUACUCCGCAAGUAUCCUCUUUCACUACUCUGCUUUUGUACACGUGACUGUAAGAAGGCCCCGAGGGAAACCCGGGCUUCCUCUCCCUCCAGCAGUCUACUGGCAGAUGAUAGUUUUCCCCCUCUACACAAACGAAGACGAGAGAGAUGGAGGUUUUGAGGUCAUUACGGGUAGCCGGAUUGAAUGAGAAACAAUCAAUUGGCUGGCGAAGAAGGAUGAAAUGUAAAGGAAAGCCUUCACCAUGUUCUGAAUUACCAUAUUAAAGACUUACAGUGCUAUCAGGCUUGACCCCACCAGACACUGCGUCUCUUCCCUGGUGAUGCUCUGCAAGGCCUGUA
rnacentral:lncRNA from 1 species